AGCGAACGCUGGCGGCAUGCUUAACACAUGCAAGUCGCACGGUUCGGGGGCAACUCCGGGCAGUGGCGGACGGGUGAGUAACGCGUAGGAAUCUAUCCUUGGAUGGGGGACAACCGUGGGAAACUACGGCUAAUACCGCAUGAUGCCUGAGGGCCAAAGGUUUGAUCGCAAGAUUAGACCGUCUGGGGAGGAGCCUGCGUCUGAUUAGGUAGUUGGUGGGGUAAAGGCCUACCAAGCCUACGAUCAGUAGCUGGUCUGAGAGGAUGAUCAGCCACAU
rnacentral:rRNA from 1 species